CUUUGAUUUGUAUACAUUAUUUGAAAGGUAAUAAAAUUACCUUUCUUUGGAUACCAAAUAAUUAAACAUUGGUCUUAUUCUUCUCCUGGAAAAUGCAUUCUUAACACACGGUAAUAUAUCUAUAACUUAUACGAUUAAAAAAAUCAUAAUUUAUAUGCAGAAGCUUUCAGGCUUGAUUCCACACCAGUCUCAUGGCUUUAAGCCUUUAUCCCAAUUCCCAUAUAAUUUGGCAUAACUACUUUUUGUGGAAAAUAUUCAACUUUUGGAGUGAUUAAUUUCAAAAAGUUUUGAUCUACAGAGCUGUGGUUGUUUUAAACAUUUUCCAUAAUAGGCACUAUUUACAUUUUGAAAGCUAAAAACUGAAAAAAGUCCGAAAAUUUCGCGGUUUUUCGCGCACCGCGGUAUCAUCACAGGUCUUUCAAAGGUGCAAGCUUGGUUUUUAACUGCCGUUGUCUAUGCUAACAACAUCCCAAAAAAUCAGUGCAUGCUAAUUUUUGCAGAGGUAUAAUUCUGUCGUUUCUUGACAAAAAAAAAUAAAAGUUGCAUAUUACCAAAGCAUUUUACCUCUACUUUUUUUUAUUAGUACAAUUUUGUAACUUUUAUUUUCAUUGAUUUUAGGUUAAAAUUUUAGUCAAAACUAAUUUUCAUAUUUUUUUAACAACCUUUUAAUUUAAUAGGCUAUGAAAAGUGUCUUGGAAUCAUUUUAAAGGUUUGGUUUUCGAGUUAAAUAAAAAAAACUGAAAACCGACCAGUGUUGCCGUUUUCUAAGAAAUGCACCAAUGGAUUUAGUAGCUGUUUUGGCUCAAGUACACUUUUAUGCCUAGGAAUCAUACUCAGCAAUAAAAACUCUUGAAUGAAUUUGUUUCAUUACAAUCGAUUUGUUUUUUACAAUCGAUAUUAAAAACGUCGAGUGCGCAUCGGAGAGUUAAAAAGUUUGAACCCACAAAUCUGUACUUUUUGGAUCUUUUCUGUUCUUUUCUGUGCGAGUCAGAUUCAUCAAACAGACCAAAUAUACACUAUAUUUUCUUUUUCAACGUCCUCAGUGGAAAUACUUUCUUCAUUAACUUAACUUGAUUUGGGGUCACUUUUUUUUGUUGUUGUAAAGAUCUCAGCUUUGGAUGAAUACCUUUCCAAUUCACCAUCUCUAAUUCAUGAACUGUUUUUGAAUUCACAAUGUAUACCUAUAGCUUUUUCGAAAUUUGGGUCCGUUUCACCUUCAGUUUGCAAAAAUCAAAAUUUUUCUUCGGCUUCUGGUUUCCGCUUUGUAGUUUGCCACUUCCAUAGCAGGAUGCAGGAGGCUACAGAUUGGCUUUUCAAAUUUGUUUCAUCCUUGUUUAGCGAUUGCUUAACUUAAACGCCAUUCACCGCGUUUAGAGAUUGUUUAUGGCCAUUUAAAAAGAUUGACAUAUUGAAAAAAUAUAUUCUGUCAUUUUAAUUUGACGUUAAAUCGUAUAAACGUAUAAGCAGAGAUGUUUGUGUAUAACCAAUAGAGCUGUAGCAAAUCGUAUGUAUUCGUUACUAAAAUGCGGGUAUUUGCUUCAGAAAAGAGUAACGAAACGUUACUUUCUAAAUAGUAUCGUUAUUCGUAUGUUUCGUUACUGGGUACUGAAGUAACGAAACAUACGAGAUACGAAAAACACGAGUAACGACCCCAUUCCAAUUUCAAUACUAAAUCAUCGAAGUGAUACACUCAAUUCGUCGAAUUUAGCAUCUCGUAUCGAUAUCGUUACCUAAGUCGGAAUGCUAACUACAGAUAAUUAUCUGGAGUUUACUUUUGUCUCGUUAAAAACAGUAGAGCAAAAGUAUCGUUUUGUUAUCGAUAAUACAUAAUUUAUACAGAAAUAUCAAAAGAGACGUUUUUGGUACUUUCUCUAUGCAGCCGAAAUAUACCCAUGCCGCAACUAAUGUGUUUAUGACCUUAGCUGCGUUCCUUUGGAAAUAUUUAUCUACUUUUUAGUACUUAAAACCACAGAACACAUAAAAAGGUAAUAUAUUCCGGAAUGACAUUGGUCGCCAGAUUGUCAAAACAUGACACUUUGGCGACCAAUGUCAGCUACCGAAUUCUUAAUUGUUUAAAAUACCGACGAAAAACGCACAAAAACCGAUAAACCACACACACCACCAAUUUUUAAACAAUUAUUUACCAUUUCCCGCGAUGAAACACGAAGAAAAUUUGUUAUUUUUCAAUUUAUAAUAUUUUUAAAUGACAUUUUAUAAAUAAAAACAAAAACAAAUUUCCUGUUUACUGCGAUUGAAAUAUAAAAAUUAAAGGCCUACCUGACAGAUUGGUGCCCAUUUUUGACAAACAAAUUUUGACAACGUUCGGAAUAUAUUACCUUAUUAUGUGUACUGUGCUUAAAACUACUUUGAUCUACUUUGCUAUACUGAAAAAGUAGUUCAAAGCAGCUUUAAGUACUAAAAAGUAGAUAAAUAUUUCCAAAGGAACGCAGCUCUUCUUGUUAAUGGUCUUGAAAUGUAGCUUAUGAAUGUACAAAAGUUUUUUGGCUUUUCAAAAAAUUUAUUUAUUUCCAGUGCAAAAUUUUCAACUAAAAAAAGCGAGAAAACGAGGUUUGAAAAUCACUCUCAAUAGAAAAAAAAAAUGAAAAAUUGUUCGACAUGGUUGUAUUGAAGUGUUAAUAUUCCGGGAUCAGCGCUAUGUCCUUUUGAAAUAAAGGUCUCUAAAGAAUUAUGAUAAGAUUACGGAACGAAUAUAAACAAAAAAUCACCAAAGUUUUGUCGAAAAUUUAGAAAAAAAAUCAAAAAAAGUUUCCAUGUUUGAUUAGAAAAAAACAGUAUAGCUACCUUCAAACUCUUAUAACAUGAGAACGAAGCAACAUAAAUUAAUGUUUAUGGCCUUAAAAUGUAGCUUAGAUUAUAAAAUUGUUUUUUGGUUAAAAAAAAAAAUUUUUACACCCUUAUACCAACGUACGAAACAUACUUAACUCACCAAACAUACGAAACGUAUCAAAUACAUGAAAUAUACGAAAUGUACGAAACAUACGAAGCAUGCGAAAGUAACGAAACAUGCGAAACACACGAAACUACGAAAUAUACGAAAAAUGCGAAACAUACGAAAGUAACGAGUAACGAUAUUAUUGAUGCGGUUACUAGUAUCAAAAGUAACGUAUACAUGCGGGUACUCGUUUUGUCGUUACUUUUACAGCCCUAAUUAACCAAAUAACAUUCAAAGUAAUGGGCCCACAUUACCGAACAGAGAAUCAUAAAUGAAGGAUCCAGGAAAAACGGCCAAUGUCCAUUUUUUAUCAAAAAUAAACUAAUGAUGAGGUAUUGUAGUAUUUACUGAGCACUGUCUGAUGGCAUCCUUACUUUUAGAAAACAAAUUGAAGCCUUGCUAAGGAAAUAAAUAACUGACGUGCCUUUUGUAUUAAGUUGUAAGAAGAAUAAAAUUUUAAAAUGCGUUUUUCUGGAAUGAGUUGGAAUGGACUUGUGCUGUUUUUCCCCUGGAACCUUCACAUGAUUUAAACGUGUUAAAUGUUAUAAGAAACAACACCAGAAGAAGAUCAAAAAAAAUUUACAAAAAUAGAUUCAAUCCUAUGGAACUUGAAGAAAAGUUUUUUAGACAAAAAUAUCAAUUUUCAAAAGCCGCAAUGAUAAAAAUAAUAGACCUCGUACGAUCUGAUCUUGAAGGGUCCAAUAGAGAUUGCCACACUCCUCCUGUUCUGAAAGUGAUGGCUGCGAUAAUGUAUUGGGGCAGAAAUGAGUUGCAAGAUGAUGGAGCUGACAUCCAUGGAUUUAGCCAACCCACGCUAUGUGUGAUCACCAGCGCUUUGCAAAGGCAUUCACGUCAAAAAGACCGCAAUUCGUGAAAAUGCCAACAGGUCAAGAAAAUUGAGGGGUUCAAAUCGAUUAGUGGUCUCCCAAACAUCAUAGGAGUAAUAGACUGCAUCUGCUUCUGCACCUACAUAAGAAUCCCGAAAGUUUGUGACUCAGCUGAUCAGUAUUAUGUUAGUAGACAAGGGUACUAUUCGAUUAAUACAUAGGCGGUUUGUGAUUCUACUCUUAAAAUCCGAGGCAUUGUUUGUCAUUGGCGACCAAGGGCGGACUGGCCCACCGGGCAUUCUGGAAUUUCCCGGUAGGCCCUCGGGCA